GAAAUGCGAUAAGUAAUGUGAAUUGCAGAAUUCAGUGAAUCAUCGAAUCUUUGAACGCACAUUGCGCCCGCCAGUAUUCUGGCGGGCAUGCCUGUUCGAGCGUCAUUUCAACCAUCAAGCCCCAGGCUUGCGUUGGGUCCCUGCGGCUGUCCGCAGGCCCUGAAAUACAGUGGCGGGCUCGCUAGUCACUCCGAGCGCAGUAAUACAUCUCGCUCAGGGCGUGCGGCGGGUGCCGGCCGUGAAACAACCCCUUUUAAAGUUUGACCUCGGAUCAGGUAGGAAUACCCGCUGAACUUAA
rnacentral:misc_RNA from 1 species